UACCAGCACCCCGAGUGGUCGGGACGUUUUAUUGGGCCUAAAGCAUCCGUAGCCGGUUCUACAAGUCUUCCGUUAAAUCCACCUGCUUAACAGAAUGGGCUGCGGAAGAUACUAUAGAGCUAGGAGGCGGGAGAGGCAAGCGGUACUCGAUGGGUAGGGGUAAAAUCCGUUGAUCCAUUGAAGACCACCAGUGGCGAAGGCGGCUGCCAGAACGCGCUCGACGGUGAGGGAUGAAAGCUGGGGGAG
rnacentral:rRNA from 1 species